UACGUAGGCAGCGAGCGUUGUUCGGAAUUACUGGGCGUAAAGGGUUUGUAGGUGGCUGAUCAAGUCAGACGUGAAAUCCCUCAGCUUAACUGGGGAACUGCGUCUGAUACUGGUUAGCUUGAGUGCAGGAGAGGAACGCGGAAUUCCAGGUGUAGCGGUGAAAUGCGUAGAUAUCUGGAGGAACACCGGUGGCGAAGGCGGCGUUCUGGACCGCAACUGACACUGAAAAACGAAAGCCAGGGGAGCAAACGGG
rnacentral:rRNA from 1 species